UUGCUUUAGCAGCACAGAUACUAAAAUUAGAACGACACAGAGAAGAUUAGCAUGGCCCCCGCACAAGAAUAACACACAAAUUCAUGAAGGGUUUCAUAUUUUU
rnacentral:snRNA from 1 species